GAUUAACGCUGGCGGCGUGCAUAACACAUGCAAGUCGAACGAUGAAACUUAGUAGACUUCUUCGGAAAGACACUAAGCGGAUUAGUGGCGAAUGGGUGAGUAACGCGUGAGUAACCUGCCUUACACAAGGGGAUAGCCUUUGGAAACGAAGAAUAAUACCCUAUAAAACCAUAAAAGCACAUGCUAGAAUGGUCAAAGUGAUAGCGGUGUAAGAUGGACUUGCGUCUGAUUAGCUAGUUGGUGAGAUAAAAGCUCACCAAGGCAACGAUCAGUAGCCGGCUUGAGAGAGUGUACGGCCACAUUGGGACUGAGACACGGCCCAGACUCCUACGGGAGGCAGCAGUGGGGAAUUUUGCACAAUGGGGGAAACCCUGAUGCAGCGACGCCGCGUGAUUUAGAAGGCCUUCGGGUUGUAAAAAUCUUUUGUAUAGGAAGAAUAUGACAGUACUAUACGAAUAAGGUCCGGCUAAUUACGUG
rnacentral:rRNA from 1 species